UAAGAAGUAAUGAAGAGCACACGGGGGAUGCCUAGGGUCUCAGAGGCGAGGAAGGACGCGAUAAGCUGCGAUAAGCUGGGGGGAGGGGCACAUGCCCGUUGAUCCCCAGGU
rnacentral:ncRNA from 1 species